rnacentral:rRNA from 1 species
AGGGUUUGAUUAUGGCUCAGGACGAACGCUGGCGGCGUGCUUAACACAUGCAAGUCGAACGAGACGAUUGAAAGCUUGCUUUUGAAAGUCGAGUGGCAAACGGGUGAGUAACGCGUAGACAACCUGCCGUAAAGAUGGGGACAACAGUCCGAAAGGACUGCUAAUACCGAAUGUUGUGGAACUUCCGCAUGGGAGCUCUACUAAAGAUGGCCUCUACUUGUAAGCUAUCGCUUUACGAUGGGUCUGCGUCUGAUUAGCUAGUUGGUGGGGUAACGGCUUACCAAGGCGACGAUCAGUAGCCGGUCUGAGAGGAUGAACGGCCACAUUGGAACUGAGACACGGUCCAG